rnacentral:rRNA from 1 species
GGGGGGAUCUUGGUCAAUGGGGGAAACCCUGAACCAGCGACGCCGCGUGAGGGAAGAAGGUCCUUGGAUCGUAGACCUCUUUUGCCAGGGAAGAUGAUGACGGUACCUGGCGAAUAAGCCCCGGCUAACUACGUGCCAGCAGCCGCGGUAAUACGUAGGGGGCGAGCGUUGUCCGGAUUUACUGGGCGUAAAGAGCGCGUAGGCGGUCUGAAGAGUCGGCUGUGAAAUCUCUGGGCCCAACCCAGAGGGGUCGGCCGAGACCUUUGGACUUGAGGGUGGUAGAGGAAGGUGGAAUUCCGGGUGUAGUGGUGAAAUGCGUAGAGAUCCGGAGGAACACCAGUGGCGAAGGCGGCCUUCUGGGCCAUACCUGACGCUGAGGCGCGAAAGCGUGGGGAGCGAACCGAAUUAGAUACUCGGGUAGUCCACGCCCUAAACGAUGGACGCUAGGUGUCGGGGGUAUCGACCCCCCGGUGCCCGAGCGAACGCAGUAAGCGUCCCGCCUGGGGAGUACGGCCGCAAGGCUAAAACUCAAAGGAUUG